rnacentral:rRNA from 1 species
CAGUCGCCGCGGUAAUACAGAGGUCUCAAGCGUUGUUCGGAUUCAUUGGGCGUAAAGGGUGCGUAGGUGGCUUGGUAAGUUGAAGGUGAAAUCUCGGGGCUUAACUCCGAAACUGCCUUCAAUACUGCUGAGCUCGAGGAUUGUAGAGGAGAAUGGAAUUCACGGUGUAGCAGUGAAAUGCGUAGAUAUCGUGAGGAAGACCAGUGGCGAAGGCGGCUUACUGGCUCAUUCUAGACGCUGAGGUGCGAAAGCGUGGGGAGCAAACAGGAUUAGAUACCCCCGUAGUCCCUGUCUCUUAUAC